rnacentral:rRNA from 1 species
CAGCAGCCGCGGUAAUACGAAGGGUGCAAGCGUUACUCGGAAUUACUGGGCGUAAAGCGUGCGUAGGUGGUUGUUUAAGUCUGCUGUGAAAGCCCUGGGCUCAACCUGGGAAUUGCAGUGGAUACUGGGCAACUAGAGUAAGGUAGAGGAUAGUGGAAUUUCCGGUGUAGCAGUGAAAUGCGUAGAGAUCGGAAGGAACAUCUGUGGCGAAGGCGACUAUCUGGGCCAUUACUGACACUGAGGCACGAAAGCGUGGGGAGCAAACAGGAUUAGAUACCCGCGUAGUCCCUGUCUCUUAUAC